rnacentral:misc_RNA from 1 species
UCUAUUUAAUCUAACUUAUGAUUUCACAUGGUUUUUAUUUUUUUACUUCUAUGUGUAGUAAACAUGUGUGUUGCUGAAAAUUAGUAAUAAAAAUGAAUUUGGAAUCCUUAUAUGUUAAUUGCUAAAAUUAUAAAUGAAGUAGCGUCAUUUAAAGUGAAAAUUAGCAUAAAUGGUUACUAUAUUUCUUGUUUAUUUAAGUUCCUUGUGAUUACUAUUCUUGCCAGAUUUUCAAGUUAAGUAAUUAUG